CAUAUACUCCCUCCGUCCGGAAAUACUUGUCGGAGGAAUAGAUGUAUCUAGAUGUAUUUUAGUUCUAGAAACAUUCAUUUUUAUGCAUUUCUUCGACAAGUAUUUCCGGACGGAGGAAGAACAAU
rfam:Triticum aestivum genome assembly, contig: Triticum_aestivum_CS42_TGACv1_scaffold_221886_3B